rnacentral:lncRNA from 1 species
GCUGGGCUCGGCCACCUGCUCGGCUCUGGGCCCCGCCGGCCCUUUAAUUGGAGUUCGCUGCCGGGCCAGGUGCGGCGCUGCCGGGCGCGGGGGGCGGUGCGGCUGCGGGCGGCGGCGGGGCGCUCGGUACGCGCCGCCCGCGGGACUGCAGAGCCGGCUCCGGCUGGCCGCCCGCACCCGCCCGCCACCGCCGCUCGGCCGGCGCUCGCCGUCGCCCAGGAGCAUGGAGGCCCCGGGUGCCCGGCGGGAAGGGUAAAGCCGAGUCGGGGCGCGGGGCUGCGCGCGGGGGCUGCGGGACCGGGCGGCGCAGCCUGCAGCGCGGCGGGCUCGGCUGAGUCGGGGCGGGGGGGGGGGGGCGCCGGCUGGGGGGGCACCCGCUGGGGGGGCACCGGCGGGGGGCGGGGGGGCGCCGGCGGGGGGGCAGGCACCGGCUGGGGGGGCGGGGGGCCGGGGGACACCGGCGGGGGGCGGGGGCCGGGGGGGCACCGGCUGCUGGGGGGGGGCGCCGGCUGGGCUCGGGCUCGGGCCCGGGGCUGCGCACGGCGCGGGCGGAGCUGCGGGGUGACGGCAGAGCCGGGUGUGCUCGGCGGUGCCGGCGGCUGGGACCCGAAUCGCGGGGGGCGCCGGCCUGCCUUCCCGGCCGCGGCUGCGGAUCCAGGGGCUCCGCGGCGGGGCAGGGCCGUCCCGCUCCCUGGCCGCGCCGCGGAGGACGACGCGGAGGUCGGGCAGCGCCCCCCACGCGGACCCUGGCGGCCAGGGUCACCCCUCGCUGUGAGGGCGGCGCGGGGCCCCGGCCCGGACCCUCCCGCCCCGGACCCUCCCCGCCCCGGGGCGCGCUCGGCCGGCAGGGGGCCAGACCGGACGCGGCUGCUGCCGGGCUCCUCGGGCUCCUCGGGCUCCUCGGGCUCCUCGGGCUCCCGGGGUCCCCGGCCGUGGCUGCCAAGCUCCCCGAGCCCCGGCUCUGCGCUCCUGCCGCGGGGACGCGAGGCUGUGCCGGGGCAGGAUCGGUGGCCCCAGAUCAAAUGCCACCCUGCUCGGAGGGAAGCCUACAGGCCCGGCGACCCCCUAGGGACAGCAAGUCCUGGGACCAGGCCGGCCAGCCUCGCUGGAGUCGACCUUCCUGUGUGA